GUGCUCACUUCGGUGGCACACUCGAUAAAAUUGGAACGAUACAGAGAAGAUUAGCAUGGCCCCUGGCGCAAGGAUGACACGCAAAAUCGUGAAGCGUUCCACAUUUUG